CAGCAGCCCGAGUGGUGGUCGUUUUUAUUGGGCCUAAAGCGUCCGUAGCCGGUCUAGUAAAUCCUUGGAUAAAUCGUACAGCUUAACUGUACGGCUCCCGGGGAGACUGCUAGACUUGGGACUGGGAGAGGUCGGAGGUACUCCAGGGGUAGGGGUGAAAUCUUGUAAUCCUUGGGGGACCACCAGUGGCGAAGGCGUCCGACUAGAACGGGUCCGACGGUAAGGGACGAAGCCCUGGGGCGCGAACCGGAUUAGAUACCCGAGUAGUCC
rnacentral:rRNA from 1 species